UUGUGUGACAUAUUGCAAAAUAAGCCGAGUGCAGGCGUGUGCAAUAUUAUUGCAUUUACAGACAUUUAUUUAUUAGCUGCAUAUUUACAUAAACAAAAAUGUACCAUAUAUACAGAGUGCACAUGUCUAGGCAUUAAUCAGUUGUUAGCUUGUCGAUUUUGUAUUGUCUACAAUCUGUUCUAUAGAGGAUCAAUUGGUUAAUAUAUUAAUUAUGCAACUGCGAUAUAAGUAUUUGUAAACAAAAAUGUAUAUUUUACUUAAUAUACGACAGCUACUGUAUAAUGGCGGAUCAUUGCUUAUAUUAAUAUCUUGUUUAUAUGUACUUUAGGUGUAUUAGAAAUGUACUUUCCGAAGCCACUUGAAUUUUUUUAUGCCUAUAAAAAGCAAAACUGUAUGAGAUGAUUAUAGUUGGAAGAAGAGAUUCAGUAGAUAUUGAAGGUUUUUUCGACGCGAUAAAAUCCAUAUACGCUCAACAAUGAUCCUACAACGCUGUUCAAAAUAUAUUGGGUAAAUAAGUAGUUUGCAUGAUUUACAAUUGGAGAAUUUGGCUUGGCUGACCAAUAACACACUCAUUGGCUCUAAUACCGCUUCCUCCGCUCCUGCCGCUCAUUGUCGGGAGUGGGUGCUUAUUCAUCAACUUUCACCGGACAAACGUACCCACCCGGCCAAUGUCGCGAAGAUAAUUCUCCGUAUUUGGUGUGAUCAGAAAAGCGUGCUGUAUUGGGAGCUUCUAAAAAGUUAGAAAACAUCGACGUUAAGGCUGUAGACAACAACUCUCAUCGACUAGAUACGAGACAACAACUUUCCAUCAUGACAACGGUCGUUCUCAUUUUGCAAAAUCGCUUAAAAAAUAUUUGGAAAAUAGCGCCUGGGAAGUUUUGCCUCAUACACCAGACCUUGCUCCUUCUGAUUAUCAUUUGGUCCGGUCGAUGUAGAACAUCCCACUGGAAUAAGAAAAGGAUAUGAAAAAUUUGCUUGAUACAUUCUUGGCCGCCAAGCCAGCGCAGUUUUUUUUUGAUACUGAAUCCACGAAUUGUCAGAAAGAUGGGGAAAUGCUGUACAUAGCUUCAGAUGGACAGUGUUGGAAAUAAUAUUAUUGUACAUGUUUUUAUUAAAUGAACAUUCAAAUUUUGAAAAAAACUGCACGAAUAUAGUUAUAGAUCCAAUAAAUAUGGGUCCGUUACGAAUGUACUGUUUGUA